GACGAACGCUGGCGGCGUGCUUAACACAUGCAAGUCGAACGGAAAGGCCCUGCUUUUGUGGGGUGCUCGAGUGGCGAACGGGUGAGUAACACGUGAGUAACCUGCCCUUGACUUUGGGAUAACUUCAGGAAACUGGGGCUAAUACCGGAUAGGAGCUCCUGCUGCAUGGUGGGGGUUGGAAAGUUUCGGCGGUUGGGGAUGGACUCGCGGCUUAUCCGCUUGUUGGUGGGGUAGUGGCUUACCAAGGCUUUGACGGGUAGCCGGCCUGGGAGGGUGACCGGCCACAUUGGGACUGAGAUACGGCCCAGACUCCUACGGGAGGCAGCAGUGGGGAAUAUUGCACAAUGGGCGGAAGCCUGAUGCAGCAACGCCGGGUGCGGGAUGACGGCCUUCGGGUUGUAAACCGCUUCCGCCUGUGACGAAGCGUGAGUGACGGUAAUGGGUAAAGAAGCACCGGCUAACUACGUG
rnacentral:rRNA from 1 species